rnacentral:rRNA from 1 species
AUUGAACGCUGGCGGCAUGCCUUACACACGCAAGUCGAACGGCAGCGGACCUUCGGGUGCCGGCGAGUGGCGAACGGGUGAGUAAUAUAUCGGAACGUACCUUUCAGUGGGGGAUAACGUAGCGAAAGUUACGCUAAUACCGCAUAUUCUGUGAGCAGGAAAGCAGGGGAUCGCAAGACCUUGCGCUGAUUGAGCGGCCGAUAUCAGAUUAGCUAGUUGGUGAGGUAAAGGCUCACCAAGGCGACGAUCUGUAGCGGGUCUGAGAGGAUGAUCCGCCACACUGGAACUGAGACACGGUCCAGACUCCUACGGGAGGCAGCAGUGGGGAAUUUUGGACAAUGGGCGCAAGCCUGAUCCAGCCAUGCCGCGUGAGUGAAGAA